GACGAACCGUGCGAACGUUGUUCGGAAUCACUGGGCUUAAAGGGCGCGUAGGCGGGCUGUCAAGUCUGGGGUGAAAUGCCCGCGGCUCAACCGUGGAACUGCCUUAGAUACUGACGGCCUCGAGGGAGAUAGGGGCAUGCGGAACUGUAGGUGGAGCGGUGAAAUGCGUUGAUAUCUACAGGAACUCCGGUGGCGAAAGCGGCGUGCUGGAUCUCUUCGUGACGCUGAGGCUCGAAAGCUAGGGGAGCAAACGGG
rnacentral:rRNA from 1 species